AUUGAACGCUGGCGGCAGGCCUAAUACAUGCAAGUCGAGCGAAUAAACGAGGCUUUUUCCUCUCUUACGUUGCCGACGGACGGGUAAGUCACACGUAUCUAACCUAUCGUGAGUACUAGGGUAACUAAAUGAACCCUAAGAUAGCACCCGUCAUGAGAUUGAACGUCAUGGUUCAUCAGUCCUCAAGCUUUUUGCUGUCACUUAUUCGUAUAACCGGGCCGCAUUAGCUAGGUGGUAAGGUAACGGCUGACCAAGGCAACUAUGAGUAGCCGACCUGAGAGGGUGAGCGGUCACACUGGAACUGAGACACGGUCCAGACUCCUACGGGAGGCAGCAGUAGGGAAUAUUCCGCAAUGGGCGAAAGCCUGAUGGAGCAAUGCCGCGUGAGUGAUGAAGGUCUUCGGAUUGUAAAACUCUGUUAUUUGGGAAGAACAAAUGUGUAAGUAUACAUGCACGUCUUGACGGUACCUACAGAGAAAGCCACGGCUAACUACGUG
rnacentral:rRNA from 1 species